UCAUAACUCUCUUCUGGGUUCACUUAUUUAUCCAAUCUUAAUUAGUAUUGAAUUAACUUCAAAAAAAAUACUGUAACACAAUGAUUUUUGAGAAUUAUUAAACUAAUAAUUCAGUGAUCAAGUGUCUAUCUUAUAAUCUAAGAGAAAUUUUCUUUUAAAAAAAUUGAAAUUUAGAUGCAAAUUUUCAAUUUACGCUCAAUAAUUUUCCGUAAUUCCAAUUCCUCCAAAAGAAAUUAUGAAGCAGUUUUAAUUUAAUUACUAUUCAGAAUUUGGAUUACAAUUAAGAUCAUUAUAUGUGUCUAACAACUUUGCAGAAGCUGUUCCACCUUAAACUUGCUAAAAGACAAUCACGCUCUAGGAAAAUCAUGCGGUCCAUACGAGCACCAUUAAAUAAGACAAACUCUACCAACCAACAUAGAAAUUAUAUAAACCAUUAUUGAGUUCAGGAAAUUAAUUAAUUUGUUUUUCCUAAUAGAGAAUUGAUUGGAUAAGAAUUAUAAUUAGAAAGAAUCACAAGAAAAGGUAUUCUUCACUAACCUUGGCCCCCCUCUCAACACCAUUGGACCCAUGUGAGUUUUGUGCAGUCCCAAUAGCUGGAGGUGGAGGAGGAGGCGGAGGAGCCAGAGGCUGUGGAGGUGGCUGUGGCAACACAUGGGAUGUCUCCAACAACAUCAAAGGAGGAGAAUGGUUGGAUGCUUGAAGAGUUGG
rnacentral:misc_RNA from 1 species